rnacentral:lncRNA from 1 species
GAUAAACACAAACUGAAAGUAAACAGUUGUUUUGAAGACGCAGUUGUCAUUUAGUGAUCUUAAACAUGCUGAAAAUGUCAGAAUGGCAUACAUUUCAGGCUAAAGACGGUUACAUUCAUUUAAAAGGUAUUUUGAAAGCAGACGAUAGAACUAUUUCAGGUUUGGGGAACGAGUAGAUUAUCACAAAAGUUCAUUUCUUGACGACCUCAUAAUUUCACGAUUGUACACAUCGAUUUUAAAUUAGUUUCUGCAUAACACAUGCAAUGGCAGUACCUUUCCAAUUACUAUUUAUGUGUUUCGUCUAAAUUUAAGUUGUAACACUUUAUAGUGACUGAAAAGGGUAGAAAAAUUCAUCAGAUGAGAAAAUGCUGAAGACACCUGGAAACAGCACCAGAUCAUUAUGUAUUGCAUCUAAUACAAAGAAACAAACUGAGAUUUGGAUAGUUCCACUUCAAGGUAAAAAUAUUUAUCUCUUGAAAUGAUAUUAAAAAAAUAUUGUAACACUGUAGUUAAUUAAUAAAGAUAUUAUUACGUGUAUUUCUGUAUUGGCCUUGUUAUUGGUCCUCGGCCAGCUGUAUUGGCCUUCGGCUUCGCUCAGGCCAAUACAGCAAGCCUCGGACCAAUAACAAGGCCAAUACAGAAAUACUUACGUAAUAAUAUCAUAAUAUUGCACUAGU